rnacentral:rRNA from 1 species
UACGAAGGGGGCUAGCGUUGUUCGGAAUUACUGGGCGUAAAGCGCGCGUAGGCGGAUAUGUAAGUCAGGGGUGAAAUCCCAGAGCUCAACUCUGGAACUGCCUUUGAUACUGGGUAUCUUGAGUAUGGAAGAGGUAAGUGGAAUUGCGAGUGUAGAGGUGAAAUUCGUAGAUAUUCGCAGGAACACCAGUGGCGAAGGCGGCUUACUGGUCCAUUACUGACGCUGAGGUGCGAAAGCGUGGGGAGCAAACAGG